rnacentral:rRNA from 1 species
AGCAGCCGCGGUAAUUCCAGCUCCAAUAGCGUAUAUUAAAGUUGUUGCAGUUAAAAAGCUCGUAGUUGAAUUUCGGGAUCAAAUUGUUGGUCGUGCUUCGGUACGCACUGGCAUUAUUGGUUCCUACCUUCUGAAGAACCGCGAUGUCAUUAAUUUGGUGUCGUGGGGAAUCAGGACUGUUACUUUGAAAAAAUUAGAGUGUUUAAAGCAGGCGUACGCUUGAAUACAUUAGCAUGGAAUAAUGAAAUAGGACGUUUGAUUCUAUUUUGUUGGUUUCUAGGAUCGACGUAAUGAUUAAUAGGGAUAGUUGGGGGCAUUAGUAUUCAAUUGUCAGAGGUGAAAUUCUUGGAUUUAUUGAAGACUAACUACUGCGAAAGCAUUUGCCAAGGAUGUUUUCACUAAUCAAGAACGAAAGUUAGGGGAUCGAAGACGAUCAGAUACCGUCGUAGUCUUAACCAUAAACUAUGCCGACUAGGGAUCGGAUGAUGUUAAUUUUAUAAUGACUC